rnacentral:rRNA from 1 species
AAGGCGUAGCCGAUGCACAGACGGUAGAGAUUCCGUCACCACCAAAAGAGUUAAGCACAGGGACACAUUUGAAGUCUCAGAGCCGGGUGUUGGUUCCGGUAGAGAUCGAGGGAAGUUAGUACCGAAGUCUGGGAUGGAAGAUGGCGAGAAAAGCUGUGUGUAUUUCUGAGGUGCCCGUACCGCAAACCGACACAGGUAGGUAGGAAGAAGAUUCUAAGGCCAACGGGAGAAGGGUUGUUAAGGAACUCGGCAAAUUGACCCCGUAACUUCGGGAGAAGGGGUGCUCCAGAGAUGGAGCCGCAGAGAAUCGGCCCAAGCAACUGUUUACCAAAAACACAGGUUUGUGCUAAAUCGAAAGAUGACGUAUACGAGCUGACGCCUGCCCGGUGCUGGAAGGUUAAGAGGAGAUGUGCAAGCAUUGAAUCGAAGCCCCAGUGAACGGCGGCCGUAACUAUAACGGUCCUAAGGUAGCGAAAUUCCUUGUCAGGUAAGUUCUGACCCGCAUGAAAGGCGUAAUGAUUUGGGCACUGUCUCAACAGCCCGCCCGGCGAAAUUGUAGUACCGGUGAAGAUGCCGGUUACCCGCGACAAGACGGAAAGACCCCAUGGAGCUUUACUGUAGCCUAAUAUUGGGUUUCGAUGUUGCAUGCACAGGAUAGAUGGGACACAGGGAAACAAUCGCUUUGGCGGUUGCGGAGUGGCCGUUGGGAUACCAUCCUUGCGAUAUUGGAAUUCUAACCUGCGGCUCUGAAUCGAGUCGGGGGACAUUGUUAGGUGGGCAGUUUGACUGGGGCGGUCGCCUCCUAAAAAGUAACGGAGGCGUUCAAAGGUUCGCUCAGCUUGAACGGAAAUCAAGCAAAAGAGUGCAAACGCAGAAGCGAGCCUAACUGCGAGACUGACGGGUCGAGCAGUAACGAAAGUUGGAGUUAGUGAUCCGGUGGUAUGUGAGUGGAAAUGCCAUCGCUCAACGGAUAAAAGUUACCCUGGGGAUAACAGGCUGAUCUCCCCCAAGAGUCCACAUCGACGGGGAGGUUUGGCACCUCGAUGUCGGCUCAUCGCAUCCUGGGGCUGUAUUCGGUCCCAAGGGUUUGGCUGUUCGCCAAUUAAAGCGGUACGCGAGCUGGGUUCAGAACGUCGUGAGACAGUUCGGUCCCUAUCUGUCGUGGGCGCAGGAUAUUUGAUGGGAGCUGUCCCUAGUACGAGAGGACCGGGACGGACGUACCUCUGGCGCACCAGUUGUUCCGCCAGGAGCAUAGCUGGGCAACUACGUACGGAUCGGAUAAACGCUGAAAGCAUCUAAGCGUGAAGCCGACCCAAAGAUAAGAUAUCCCACUGAUU